CCUGUCCCUGCCCUUGCCUCACUUCCAUCUUGCCCUAUCCUGGCUCUGACACCUCUGCUGUACCUCUGGGCUUGUUCCUGCUGGGCUGAGCCUGCCAAGGAAGGCACAGCCUCAAGGAGCUGCUAUGGGAGGUGCUCUGCUGGCCCAGUUCAAGGGAGAAGUGCAGGCAUCGUGUGCUGGAGCUGCUCUGCCUGCACCACCCAUCCCACUCGUCUCCCAGUGCCACGGGCAGGGGCUGGUGGCAGGUCAGGUAAGCUGCUGGUGACAAUGGAGAGCUGGGAGCAAGGCUGGCUGGAUGAUCACUUUGUUGGACAGCACUCAUUUGGGGGUGAUGAACUUUUGGAGGCUGAUUUCCUUGGCCACUGCUGCUGCUUUUGGAAAAGCCCCCCUCACUUGGCUCUCCCAUUGUGGGAGGACCAGAAAAGGGGGAUGGAUGAGGAGCAGGAUGACCCUACUCACAGAGCUUUCCCCUCAUCGUGUCGCGGUAGCCACGUUUCAAGAGGUCGGGGACCGCAAGCAGGAAAACGAGGAAAUGAAGAAACAGGAAAAAAACCUGUGGAAGGAAAAAUGUCUCCAGCUCCUCCCUCCCCUGCAGGGCACUCUUCUCCGUUUGGUUUUCUCUUGAGCUGUUAGAUUUCUGAGGCACAGAGUGGCAGUGCCCAUUUCAUUGCAUGGCUCCUGCAGGAUGCAGCUCUACCACCGAGCAAAGCUGGGAGCUGCCUCCCUCACCUGGCUGGCCAAGAAGGAAAACUCCAAAUUCCAUGUGACUGUAGCACAGGACAAGGAUCACAACACUGGAUCAAGGAUCUGCCCCCACUCACAGCACUGCCAAGGACAUGGCAAUGCAUUUUAAUUCUGGCUAUGGAAGUAGGGAAAAAAAAGGUUUAUCCACAAAGUAAAAACCUAGUUCUUUAUAUGGGGAAUAUGAAAUGGAAGCAAACCCCAAGGCUAUAUGUAGAAACACCUUUCUGAGCCCUUCAGGGUGCCUGUAGCCCUUGUUUCUGGUUACCUGUCCAUCUCUCACAGCUUCCAGAGGCUCCAGAAACCCCCCCCCCCAUCUUUCCAGACACACUUCUGGAAGCAGCACUUUUUCCAUGGUGCUGGAGAGCACUUGCAGAGCUCCAUCACUGAGGGUUGGGCCAGAGCAUUUGCCCAAGAGUCUGAUUUAAAGCCCUGUGCUCACCCAGCAAAACCCAGGGCCUGAUUUGGCAAUGCUCUCCCUUGAGCAGACUGAUGAGAAAAGGGGAGGCCAGGCACUUCAAUUGUGUGACCUUGUAAUGCCCAGAGGCUCAAGCCUGUUACAAAAAUCUUGCUGGUCCAGGCAAUUGCUAAAAAAAGGGAGGAAAAAAAAACCCCAACCAACCAAACCUGUCAUCUGUCCAGAUUGCUAACUAAAUAACCUGUAAGCUGCAAUAAUUCUGCAAAAGAUGCUCUCAAGAGUGUAUUUUACUGUGAAAGUGGUUAUAAAUAAUAAUAAAGAAAUGCAUCUGUGUGUAC
rnacentral:lncRNA from 1 species